rnacentral:lncRNA from 1 species
GUUUCCUUGGCUUUACAUCUUCAUAAAUCUUCAUUUGUGAAAUAGUUGGAUUUGGUCUAAGUGGAGGAGGAUCAUCUUCAUUUUCAAUUGUUUCCCAUAGACUAAGAGCUUUGAGAUAAGCCUUCAUGUUUAUCACCCAUAUGUGAUAAUUUUUUCCUGUAAAAAUAGGAGGGCCUGCACUCAAGAAGUUGUUGGAUGCCAUGUUACUGCUGCUCAACUCUCUUAUCUUAAAAGAACCAAAGAAAACCUUAUCUUUUUUGCCUUCAUAAAGAAAGGCUCUGAUACAACAGUUGGAAUUUGAAACUUCAGAGCAAAAAGUAAAGUUCGACAAAAGUUUUUUUCCAUACAUAACAUACUAC